AACCCCCGACCCCUGUUUUUUCUUAAUUGGAGUUCGGGAGAAGGGAGAAAGCAAGAAGUGAUAGAGAAUAAGACAGCACAAGGUGGAAGAUGCUUACUGCUUUCGUUGCCCAGAAGAACUAUGGCUGUCACUGAUAAUCAUGACUGACAGAUCAGCAAGGAAAGCCUGCCAGACCUUCCCUCGUUCCUAGCCAAGACUCAACACCGAUCAAACUUCUCAAUUUGUAAUUUACUAAACUUUCUAAUCACAAGUUUUGGCCUUAAAGAAACAAGCAAGCAAACAAACAAAGCCAACACUAAAAACAAGCAACCAAACCCAAAACAGAAACAUAAAUAUUGAUUUCUUGACUAAUGCAUAGCCACUGAUUUUAAAAACUCUGUGUAUAUUCCAAAAGUCACUGAUAUGUGUAAUCCAUUUGAUCCACACAAGGAUAAAACAAAGACAAAUUAAGAGAAUUAGGACUAAAUUCCCUUUUGAGUCUGGUAAAGCCAUUCCUGUCUCACUAAGGAAUUAUCUGCCUCUAGUUUCUCUCGAAAAAUCCAUAGAAGUAAUCUACCGAAGUUCUGUGCUGAAGUUUUCCAUCUCAUCUGAAGAAGCAAAGAAGACCUAGAGAACCUAGAGACCUAGAGCACAAUGUUUCAGGAUCAGAAAGGAAGAAGCAACUGGAGAUGGCUAUAAAAGGAGAAGCAGAAGAGGCAAUCCCAGAACUCGCCAAAGAAAGAUGGUGGUGAACUAAGUGACACUUCUUUGGGCUCAUCAUCCAGGGUGGCCAAUGAGGAUUGGCAGCAUGGUUUGGCCGGCUAAGAUCAGACCUUCAGAUUGGCCUAUUUACUUAACAGGAUAGGAAAAGACCUCCUUGAUUCUACACCCCGCUUUCUUAAGGGGUAAUUCAUCACCUAAUCAUCAGCUGGGAAACAGUGUGGUAAAGAGGGAAGGUGAUAGCCACAAAGACCUACGUUGGAUACUUGGCUUAUUUUUACAUGUUGUGUGACCUUGAGCAAGUUUAUUUUAACCUCUCUAAGCUGGUUUCUUUGUCUAUAAAAAAGAGAUUGUAAUAUUGAUCAUAGGGUUUUCAUAGAGAUUAAAUAAUGACACAGCUAAAGCAAAGCACACAUAGCACUCUAUUUUUCUAGUAGUAAGCAUC